AACGCACGAGACCUGCGGACCUGCGGAAGGAUCAUUAUUGAAUAUUCUUGAUGGGUUGUAGCUGGCUCUUCGGAGUAUGUGCACGCCUGUCUUGAUUUAAUUCAUCCACCUGUGCACCUUUUGUAGUCUUGGGGGUUGAGUGCAGUCGACUGUCGGACAUCUAUCCGGAUGUGAGGAUUGCUGAGUGCGGAAGCAUACGGCUCUCUUCAAACGACUUGCAAUCCCUCAAGUACUAUGUAU
rnacentral:misc_RNA from 1 species